rnacentral:rRNA from 1 species
UACGGAGGAUUCGAGCGUUAUCCGGAUUUAUUGGGUUUAAAGGGUGCGUAGGCGGAGUGUCAAGUCAGCGGUAAAAUUUCGGGGCUCAACCCCGGCGAGCCGUUGAAACUGGCGGGCUGGAGUUGGAGAGAAGUACGCGGAAUGCGCGGUGUAGCGGUGAAAUGCUUAGAUAUCGCGCAGAACCCCGAUUGCGAAGGCAGCAUGCCGGCUUCCGACUGACGCUGAAGCACGAAAGCGUGGGGAUCGAACAGG